rnacentral:rRNA from 1 species
GAUGAACGCUGGCGGCGUGCCUAACACAUGCAAGUCGAGCGAUUUACUUCGGUAAAGAGCGGCGGACGGGUGAGUAACGCGUGGGUAACCUGCCCUGUACACACGGGUAACAUACCGAAAGGUAUGCUAAUACGAGAUAAUGUGCUUUUAUCGCAUGGUAGAAGUAUCAAAGCUUUUGCGGUACAGGAUGGACCCGCGUCUGAUUAGCUAGUUGGUAAGGUAACGGCUUACCAAGGCGACGAUCAGUAGCCGACCUGAGAGGGUGAUCGGCCACAUUGGAACUGAGACACGGUCCAAACUCCUACGGGAGGCAGCAGUGGGGAAUAUUGCACAAUGGGCGAAAGCCUGAUGCAGCAACGCCGCGUGAGCGAUGAAGGCCUUCGGGUCGUAAAGCUCUGUCCUCAAGGAGGAUAAUGACGGUACUUGAGGAGGAAGCCCCGGCUAACUACGUGCCAGCCGCCGCCGUAA